GGAAUAUUGGACAAUGGAGGCAACUCUGAUCCAGCCAUCCCGCGUGCAUGAAGACGGCCCUAUGGGUUGUAAACUGCUUUUGUCAGGGAAUAAACCUCCGGAUUCAUCCGGAGCUGAAGGUACCUGAAGAAUAAGCACCGGCCAACUCCGUGCCAGCAGCCGCGGUAAUAAGGAGGGUGCAAGCGUUAUCCGGAAUCAGUGGGUUUAAAGGUUGCGUAGGUGGCAUCGUAAGUCAGAAGUGAAAGUUUGCGGCUUAACCGUAAAAUGGCUUUUGAUACUGUGAUGCUUGAAUCAGGUUGAGGUUGGCGGAAUGUGGCAUGUAGCGGUGAAAUGCUUAGAUAUGCCAUAGAACACCGAUUGCGAAGGCAGCUGACUGGACCUGUAUUGACGCUGAGGCACGAAAGCGUGGGGAGCGAAC
rnacentral:rRNA from 1 species